rnacentral:rRNA from 1 species
AACGAACGCUGGCGGCAGGCUUAACACAUGCAAGUCGAACGCAUGCCUUCGGGCAAGAGCGGCAGACGGGCGAGUAACGCGUGGGAACCUACCCCUUGGUACGGGCUUGCUUAGGGAAACAGGAGAUACUAGCGGAUGUAUCCUGAGGGACAAAGAUUCAUCGCCAAGGGAUGUGCCCGCGUCGGAUUAGCUCGUUGGUGGGGUAACGGCCUACCAAGGCGACGAUCCGUAGCUGACCUCCGAGGAUGGUCGGCCACAUUGAGACUGAGACACGGCCCAAACUCCUACGGGAGGCAGCAGUGGGGAAUGUUGGACAGUGGGCGCAAGCCUGGUCCAGCCAUGCCGCGUGAGUGGUGAAGGCCAUAGGGUUGUAAAGCUCUUUCACCGGUGACGAUAAUGACGGUAACCGGAGAAGAAGCCCCGGCUAACUUCGUG